GACUGACUGAGUGAGCGAGCGAGCGGGUAAGCCAGCGAACAGCCUCGAUGCUGUAAACUCGAAUGCUGGGCUUCCUGUAAUCCGCUGCGAGCGCCGGAAGAGCUUGCAGUGAUUGAUUCGAGCUGACAAAGCGGAGCAGCGAUGGUGCACAUUUCGUGCUUUAUAAGUUCAAGUUUAUAUCACAUCUGCUAAUCGUGAAUCCAGUUCUGUUCUCGACUCGUAGAUAUAUCCCCAAAGUCGUCGAACUCCGUGUAACAGAUCUUUCGCCUUCGUCCCUGAUCGAGAGGGCGCGUCCCCUGAGCAUGCGGUCCAUUCCGGUAUUGUGUAUCGUUGCGCUCAUCAUCUGUCUUGUCGCUGAUUUCUCCGGUGCAUUCUUCAUGCGGACGGAGUGCAUCUGUAAACCGAUCCAACGUCCAGUCUGCGCCAAGAGCGACAACGGCGAAAUGAAAACUUUCCAGAACUCGUGUUACGCGUACUGCGCGGACAUGAGGGUGGCACACGAGGGUCCGUGCUCCAAUAGCUAGGAGUGUCGGGAAGGCGUGACACGGGGGAAAUCUGAUCAGUCCAUCGAAUGCCUCAACGCGAAUGACCAAUCAAGGUGCCCGAAGACCGAAGACUAACGGAAUGGAGACAAAGCUGCGCUAAAAGUAAACACCCG